rnacentral:misc_RNA from 1 species
GAUGAAGAACGUAGCGAAAUGCGAUAAGUAAUGCGAAUUGCAGAAUUCAGUGAGUCAUCGAAUCUUUGAACGCACAUUGCGCCCUGUGGUAUUCCGCAGGGCAUGCCUGUUCGAGCGUCAUUUCAACCCUCAAGCCCCGCUUGGUGUUGGGCCCCGCCCGCUGUGGCCGGCCCUAAAGACAGUGGCGGCGCCGCCUGGCCCUCAGCGUAGUACAUCUCUCGCUCCAGGGUCCGGUGGCCGCCUGCCAGAACCCCCCAACUCUGUGGUUGACCUCGGAGCAGGUAGGGAUACCCGCUGAACUUAAGCAUAUCAAUAAGCGGAGGA